AAUCACCCAAGUAGUGUAUCACCACACCAAGUAGAGAAGUGAGCUACCAUGAUAGGGUUGUGUGUAGGGUAGCCACUAAAGAGAGUGUUGUACCAACAUUGAAAUAGUGAAUAAAGUGUUGAGUUCCUACAAAUUUGAUAUCCCAAGUAGUGUAGUGUGCAAAGGUCCUCAAAAGUGGGUGUUAGGGUCGCCGCCCGUAAAAUCUCUACAGCAAUAACACAACAAAUCUAGCCGCGCAAAUGCUUGGGUCACCCUACAAGUUAAUGCUGAAUGUAGAAAUGAACUACUGAAGCAUUAUGCUCAUAUCAACAUAUAAGUCAGGGGCCUAAAGUACAGAAGCCUAGCUGUGUCUUCCGACUCAAACUUCGGUCACGGCAGUCCCUCACGAUAGCCUCCUGUCAUGGUCAGACCCAUGAAGAGCAGGCUGCCCAGCCUGGGCAGCCGUGUGAUCAUUUCCAGCUUGGAAUGACACCGAGGCUGGUGUGGCUAUUUGCCUACCUGUGUGGAGUAACCGUGUCCAAUGUGGCAGCUAGGUAUCAAAUGUGUGAAUUUGUUACAGAAAUUGGAUGGCUUUUUAUGUUUGAAGAUACUUUAAACCUGUAGGAGUUCAAUUUAAAUUUUGAAAUUGGUAGGAAACUGAAUCAGAGCAUCUCUUUAGGCUGCCUCAUCUAUAUUUGAGGGAGCUAUGCUAAUAAAUAAGGUAAGCAAGAUAACUCUCGAGGCCUCUUUCUCUUAUUCCUCGUGUGUGCCCCCUCUAGUUCCCUCCCCUACCAGUCUACCUUAUCCACAGCACCUAGCCACCAUGUCCCUAAGCUGAAAUUUUCAGUUUUUUUUAGGGUAGCUGAAACUUCAGUUUACCACAACUAAGCUUUAUGUUCCCAUAGGGAACAGGAGUACGUGAGACCCCAUCUCUGUGAAGAUUCCAAAUCCGGAUUUUGUAGAUGUCCAUUAAAUACCUGGUCCCUACUGCUUCGGACGGAGGCGCAGGGGUGUAUGGAUUUUGGGUACAACCGUUUGGAAAUGGUAGCAUGGGAGUUCUUCAGCCGGUUUGGGUGGCGCGCCAGUCUUAGGUGGGAAGGACGCUGAUUUUUUCCUUCCAUCCUUUUUUGUAUUCAGCUGGAACCUUGAGACAUCUACUUUGAAUUGAAUGAUUAUAAUAAUUGAUGUCCGUGUGCAUCGAUCGAUGCAGAGGCCGGGGGAUGCCAUCCUUUUCGCAAAAAAAAGAUGUCCAUUAAAUGUGGGAUGAACUUGAAGCUGCACAUGUCAAGUCACCAGAGGUCCUCGAACAAUUUUGGGUGUCUCACGCAAGUCCCUGAACUUUGAAAAUCAUUGUCCAGGUCCUUGAAGUACAAUUAGUGGCUCAUCCAGGUCCAGAUCAGUCGGCAUGUUGACCGUUGACCAGAACUAUUUCGGGGCUGAUUUGGACCUGAAUGAGUCACUCUCAUCCAGGUGCAAAUCUGUUGGCAUGUUGACCAUUGACCAGAACGAUUUCGGGGCUGACUUGGACCUGAACGAGUCACCAAGUAUAAUUAGAUGACUAGAUGGCGAUUUUCAAAGUUUUGGGACCUACCCGAGACCAGAAAUAGUUUGAGAACCUCUAGUGCACUUUACUCUUUUGAAAAGCUUGAGCAUCAUGGCCCUUGGGUGCAUUUUAUUACUGAAGAGAAUCACUGCUAAAUCUCCAUGCUGUUAGUUUAAGCAUCUGCUAUUGCUUAGUGAGAUGUAAAUUUGUAUUUCUUUGCCAC
rnacentral:lncRNA from 1 species